ACCGUCGCCCCGCCACCCUCGACGCCACCGUCGCCCCGCCGCCCCAGCGCCGCCCCGACACCACCGUCGCCCCGCUGCCCUCGACGCCGCCCCGACACCACCGUCACCCCGCCGCCCUCGAUAGCCAGUUUGUUCCCGUGUGUCGCUCCUGUGCUCUCGCACACACAAGCCCGCAAGGUCGCCAGCCACCUCAAAUUUCCCCCCUUGGGCCGGUUCUCCUCCACACGCCCGUAGCGGCGUAGCCUCGACGGUGGUCGGCGACUGGAGUAGUGGCGGGACAGGCGGCGAUGUCCAGUGUCGUGAAGGGAGGCGUUUGCCUCCAGCAGCUCCGCCCCUAUCCUCCUAUACAGCCCUACCGCUACGGAUUCAAAAUGGAUUCGCCACUUCCACCACAGAUCUGGCUUGUGGUUGACUGCACCGACCGUCGCCGCCUUCGUUUCUAGCUGCCGGAGGGUACACCACUAGGGCCGAGGCCGAAUCUAGAUACGCCCGCUAUCUAGCGGGAGAGGGGAGGG